CACUGAAUUCAGUUAGCCGCUGAUUGUUGCACCCGACCGACGUGCUCGCACCGUAGCUGACUUGAUCCGCGAGUUUUAGUUGUUUGACAAUUUAACGCUUUGAGCGUCAUCAAAUUGCUUUUUCGUUUUGUUUGUGUUGCGUAGUUUUUUUGGUUCGGUUCUGUCGAACUUCAAUCAAGAUCAGCAUAAAACAAACUUCUGAAAACAAGGUGGCUAUCAAAAAAUGGAUUGAACAUUUAAAUUCGACGAAAGAAGUGUGCAAAAAUAAAAAAAAACUAAGCUACAACAGAAAAGUAAGCCGAGUAUAUAACCACAGAAAGUCAAGCCAACUGAUAUGAAUGGAAAAUAUUUGUGAAUGUCAUUACACUCGUGAUACUAAUUUAUGAGAUCAACACAGAAACGACGAGCGAGCUCCGGAAACUGAAAUUUGAAGUAUAACAUUCGAGAAGGAGUCCGCAGUUACUAAAACGAUUAAAAGGGGUUUCGGUUGCCAAGAGAAACUGGACGGCAAUACAGGUCCAAUUCGAUCGGAAUGAACUCAGUCGCUGAUGUCUGAUGCCUGUCACAGCAUUUAAACCAAAACGAGGUCAAUGCGCGCCACUUGUCGUCUGUUGUUUUUAGUUUUCCAUAACGAACGAAGCAUUACUCUUAUGUGCCCAAUCUGCAAGCCUGCCUGACACAGAAUUUGGAUCUUUUUGGGCGGUUAUGGAGGCGAAUCACAGCUGGCAGAGCCCAUUCUAGCGUACAUAACGCUUAAAUCUGUCUAAAACCUACAUUACCAUAUAUUGAAAUAGCAGGUGCGCACAAUGACGCGGCGCGUCUUGGUGCGACGCAGCGCUUCCCCGCGUGAAUGCUAUCUGAACGCAUCACGAAUUUAAGCCCAUUUUCUGAAAGCCUAAAAGUAUGUUUAGUCGGGACGCCAAUCAACCAGCAAAAAGAAUGUGGCCUCAAUUUGCAGAAGCGCUUAUCGUUCAAAGCGUUAAGUAAACUCACACAGGCAGACAAAUUCGAGCUCGUGUGUGGCGAUGGUAUAGCGUCCGCGGUGCAAGUCGAAAAUAUUUGGUUACUCCACCAACACUUAAUCGCACAAGGAGCAACGCUUGAUCAGAUGUAAAAAAGAAAGAAGACUUACCGAACAAAGAAAAUACAUACAAUUAAAUACAAUAAAAAUAAUAAAAAAGAAUGAAAUGUUUUUACAUUUUUUAUGUUGUUUCAGACAUUUUUAUAAGAGUUACUCACAGGCUAUAGGGUAAGCGAUAAAUUGCAAUCGUCGGUAAUUAGGUAACAGGAAGAAGGAAGCUUUAAGUACAUUUUCCUCCAAAAAGUUGAUAACAGAAAUUUUGUUUGCUGAAGGUGCGACAGUCACUAUAUUUUUAACUCGUUAAGAUGUGUUUUUUUGUUCAAAAAAAGUUAUUUAACAAAAAAAAACAUUUUCUUGUUUUUUUUUGGAAAUCAAAAAGUAGAGUCUUUAAAAAUUUUAUUGAAAAGGGAGUUUACGAAUGAAAAUUAAAAAGAAGGAAAGUUAAUAGGAUAUCUGCAGCUUGAGAUAUAAGCAUUCAAAACGAGGAGGCAAACUAUUUUUUCCGUCCGUAACACUGUUUAAACCCUAGCACAGGGUAUAAUGAUUUCAGUCAGAAGUUUGCAACGCAGUGAUGGAAACGUUUCCGACCCCAUAAAGUAUAUUUAUUCUUGAUCAGCGUCACUAAAUGAGUCGAUCUAGGCAUGUCCGUCUGUCUGUCCGUUUCUACGCAAACUAGUCUCCCAGUUUUAAAGCUAUCGGGCUGAAACUUUCCCAAAGGUCUUCUUUC